AUGGAUUCACCCCAAGAAAAUGUGCUCAUCCAUAUCAUACCUAUCAAUGGGAAUACACAGGGCCAGUCUGACCAUCGAGCCGACAACACAAAUCAUAAUGUUAAUGGAGUUGAUUUGGGCCAGAGCCCUGGGAAUCUGAAGGCUCGGUCUGGACCACAGGCCACAGGAGGCCUAACCAGUUACUCACUUAUUGACAUGGAUCUGUGUGGAAGUACUGAGCUAGCCCUCCCUCUGACGCCCAACCUUCCUCCAUUGUCUGGUUUAUCUCCAGAGGUUGUAGUCUUACAAGGUGACAUCCUUGAUAUUCGUCGGACUCAACAACAUCUCCAAACUCUAAUCCACCAUAAAUUCAAAUGUCUGAGUGAAGAGCAACAACAGAGUGCCAUGGAAUUCAGAAACUCACUGAGCACUCUAACCCACACGCUGACAGAGCUCAGUGAGAGUGGAAGGCGGGAUGUUACUGGUGCCAUGGACAGGCAGUUUGACUACCAACAAACCCAACUCACUGCCACUCUCCAGUGGCGCUUGCAACAUCAUCACACUGAGGUCCUCAAGGACGUUAAUUCAGUUUUUUCUCCUCUGGUUAACACUGUAGACCACUUGCAGAAAGAGCUCUUUAAUUGUGUUAAAAUGUUGGAAGACGUGUCUGUUGACAUGGCCUCCAUUAGGCACAACUCCUUGCACAGAGCUUUUCUGGUGUCCACUUCUGUUCAGACCACUGAGGGCCAAGCUGGCACCUCGGAACAGCUAAGACAAGGCCAGGCUGCAGCCACCCCUUACAGGAUGCAAUCCACCAUGCAUCCUGGUGUUAAUUUUCAUGGUCCGAUAACUCCCUCACCCUCUACUUCCUCAAUCCCUCCUAGCUCUUUUGUUCAUGGUGAUUUGAGUAGACGUCAUGUGGGGGCGAUGCCCAUUAAAUUGCAAUUUCCCACCUUUGGAAAAAAGGAUGACAGUCCUGAUCCGCUAAUGUAUCUGGAAAGAUGUCGUGACUUUCUUGCCCUCAAUCCCCUGGCUGACGAAGAACUCCUUGCCACAUUGAGGAAUGUGUUGCAUGGUACAGCUCGAGACUGGUGGGAUGUGGCACGUCUCACCACUACCUCCUGGGCUGACUUUGAGGCCAAGUUUUCCUCUGCAUUUCUGUCUGAGGACUACACAGAUGAGCUGGCAGACAGUCAGGAAUCGAGUGCAAAGAGAGAAAGAGAGUAUCCGUGA
rnacentral:lncRNA from 8 species